CUGGGCCUGGGAGAACUCUGUCUGCCCGAGAACGAGCCUGGUAGCAGCAUCAUGCCUGGGAAAGUUAACCCCACCCAGUGUGAGGCCAUGACCAUGGUAGCAGCCCAGGUGAUGGGAAACAACGUGGCUGUGACCAUCGGAGGCAGCAACGGACACUUUGAGCUUAACGUCUUCAAGCCAACGAUGAUUAAGAACGUGUUGAACUCAGCCAGGCUGCUGGGCGAUGCCUCGGUC